rnacentral:rRNA from 1 species
AAAAAGCGCGCUAACAUCAUAGCAGGUACAUAAUUGACUCUCAGCACUAAAGCGAACGAAAAACGUUUAUGCUUUGUAUACAUGCGGGGGACGUGAAAAUCCUAUCGGAGAGGAGACGUAAUCGGAAGGGCAAUGAUAAAAAUUGAAUCAUCGGACAUAGUACGAUAAGGUUGUAUGUCUAAAGGGAAACAGCCCAGAACAAGAGUUAAUAAGGUUCCAAAAUUAUUAUUAAGUGAAAUUAAGGAAGUUAUUAUUAAAUACGGCCAGGAAAUAGGCUUAGAAGCGGCCAUUUUUUGAAGAUCUCGUAACAGAGCACUGGUUUAUUUAACUGUAAGUUAAAAUUUUCACGAUAUUUAGUGUAAAGCUAAAUUAUCGUAAGUUAAUAGCGCCGAAAAUAUAACGGAUCUAAAUAAUAUACCGAUACCUUGUCCAUUUGCUAUACCAAGAUUAGAAAGCGCCUAAAGCGUAAAAUAUGAAAUUGGUGCAAUGGGGUAGCGGAACGUUGGGCAAAUCUCAGAAAGUGUCUUUUCAAGCCACUUCAUUAGAUUACCCAAGUGAGAAUGCUGACAUGAGUAACGAAAAAGGGAUUUUCCCUCGCCUUAAGCUUAUGGUAUUCGCUUAAAGUAACGGCCUCUAAGUAUUCAAUCCUAAAGGAUUAUGCAAUGAGAAAAAUCUAUCAUAUAUUAACAGACCUUUAUUAAUUCAGAAUAUGUCGAAUUUCUAGAAAGAAAAACAAGCUGAAAAAGAUGAUUCAAUUUUUAGAAACUCGGAUAGUUACAUAUAGCUGAAUUAAAAGUGAAAAGGUUCUGGAAAAAGAUGUAUGUAUAUUGAAGCUAGCAAUUUAUUUGCUUUUCAGUAUAAAAAUAGUUGCCGUACCUAGAUACCGAUAGGUAAGCUAGUG